GUCAGCCAGGGCAACCAAGUGAGACCCUGUUUUUAAAAACAACCGCCGAUCGUGGUAGUGCAUGCCUUUAAUCCCAGCACUUGGGAGGCAGAAAUCAGAGGAUUUCUGAGUUCGAGGCCAGCCUGGUCUACAAAGUGAGUUCCAGGACAGCCAGGGCUAUACAGAGAAACACUGUCUCGAAAAACCCAAAUAAAUAAAUAAAUAAAUAAAUAAAUAAAUAAAUAAAUAAAAACAACCCUCCCCCCCCAACCUGUAAUUUUAUUGUUUGUAUGUGGGCAUGAUGUAUUCGUGGGCUUGAUGUGUAUGCGUGGGCGUGGUGUAUGUGGGCAUGUGUGCCAAAGCACAUGGAUCAGGUCACAGUUUCUUUAUAUGAAUCUAGGGCUCAAUCUCAGGUCAUCGAGACUGUGGCAUGUGCUUUAUCCACUGACUAUCUUGUCCUACCUGUGUGCCUGGUACCCACAGAGUCCAAAAGAGAGCGUCAGAUCCCCUGGGACUGGAGUUACAGAUGGCUGUGAGCUGAGCCGCCACCACAAGGGCUGGGACUCCAGCCCAUAUGUACUUUGUAGUGGUCGCUGUUGUUCAUUUUUUAGGUUUAUUUUAUGUGUAUGGGCUUUCUGCCUGCAUAUAUGUAUUCGUACCACGUACAUACCUGCUUAGUGUCCAAAGAGGCCAGCAGAGGGCAUCGGCUCCCCCUGGAACUAUAGUUAGACUGUUGUGCCAGCGGGUAGGUGCUGGGAACCAAGCCUGGGAACCAAGCCGCUCUAUGCAAGAGCAGUAAGUACUUUAUUUUAAAACAAGGUCUCGCCGGGCGUGGUGGCGCAUGCCUUUAAUCCCAGCACGCGGGAGGCAGAGGCAGGCGGAUUUCUGAGUUCAAGGCCAACCUGGUCUACAGAGUGAGUUCCAGGAUAGCCAGGGCUACACAGAGAAACCCUGUCUCGAAAAACCAAAAACAAACAAACAAACAAACAAACAAGGUCUCGAGGCAUAGCCUUGGUUGGCCUGGAACUCUCUAUGUAAAUCAGACUGGCCUGGAACUCUCACAGAUCUUCCUGCCUCCACCUCCAGAGUGCUGGGAUUUAAAGUGCACCACUCUUAGGCCCACCUAACUUUAACUGCUUUUUCUUCUGAUGUUCUGGUUCUCAACUGACUUUCUUUGAUAUCUUGUUAACUAUAACUCGGUCAGAAUCAUCCCGGGUUGGAAAGGUGGCGGGCGAAGCAUGUUAACCCCUCAGAGGUAGUGCACUUCCACCAGGAAUGCUGGAGGGUUCUGUAGGUAGGGAAAAGGCUGGGCAGGUGACUGAAUUGCCACACCCUCUUCACGACUGCACAUAGUUUGGUUCAAUAAAGCUAUAUUCCAAGAGGGGAGUAGCCUAUCUGUCACUGUCAAAAGUAAACUGUUUGUAGGCGAGCUAGGGUAGUCAUCCAGUGGUAGAACAUUUGUCUGGCCCUGGGUUUGUACCCUAACACUACACAUAUAAGAGGAAAAGCUACAGAGCAUGGGGACACAUGCUUGUAAACCCAGAACUGUGCAGGCAGAGGCAGGGGGGCUGUCAGAAGUCUAAGGUAAACCUGGCCUAUGUGGCAAGACGUCUCAAAACAGGCUGGGGAGAUGGCUUAGUAUACAAACAUAAGAACCUGAGUUUGGGCCAGCAUUUAGGAGGCAAAGGCAGGCAGAUCUCAGUGAGUUCAAGGCCAGCCUGGUCUACAUAGCAAGUGCCAGGCCAGCCAAGGAUUGGUAGUAAGAUCCUGUCUCCAAAAGCAAGGGUGAGGCCCCAGGAUGUGUCAGUAUGCAAAGACCGAUGACCUUCAUCUCUGGACCCGCAGGACAGAGGAGGAAAACCACGUCCUCCAAGUUGUCCUCUGACCUUCACACACACACAUACACACACAGCCUCGAGAGUGCUUACAUGCACGUGCACACACACGCACGCACGCACACACACACACUCACAGACACUAGAUAAUUGCAAUGAAAAGUAAGGGCAGACAGUUCCUGAGGAACAAUACUUGAGGUGACCUUUGGCCUCCACACACGUGCAUGCAAGGUCCACCUGCAACCACACAUGCCUACACAUGAAUGCACACAUAUACCAUAGACACAAGAGUUAAAGCAUUAAACCACAAGUCAGGACCAAUGGCAUAGGCCGGUAGUCCCAGCUACCUGGGAGGCUGAGGAAGGAUCACAAGAACAAGGCCAGUCUGGGCUACAGAGUAAGUUCAAAUCCAGCUUAGGAAACUUGACGAGACCCUCUUCUCCUUUUUUCUUUUUCCUUUUUUUCUUUCUUUCUUCCUUCCUUUCUUUCUUUCUUUCUUUCUUUCUUUCUUUCUUUCUUUCUUUCUCUCUUUUUGUUUUUUGAGACUCCUUUCUCAAAAUUAAGAGAACUAGGGAUAUAACUCAAUGAUAUAGCACUUGGCUAGCUAGCAUGCAUGAGACCCAGGG
rnacentral:lncRNA from 1 species